CAUUCGAGUGGCGGACGGGUGAGUAACGCGUGGGUAACCUGCCUUACACAGGGGGAUAACACCUGGAAACAGGUGCUAAUACCGCAUAAGCGCACAGGGCCGCAUGGCCCGGUGUGAAAAACUCCGGUGGUGUAAGAUGGACCCGCGUCUGAUUAGCUUGUUGGCGGGGUAGGGGCCCACCAAGGCGACGAUCAGUAGCCGGCCUGAGAGGGUGGGCGGCCACAUUGGGACUGAGACACGGCCCAAACUCCUACGGAAGGCAGCAG
rnacentral:rRNA from 1 species